AUUGAACGCUGGCGGCAGGCCUAACACAUGCAAGUCGAACGAGUGGCGGACGGGUGAGUAAUGUCUGGGAAACUGCCUGAUGGAGGGGGAUAACUACUGGAAACGGUAGCUAAUACCGCAUACCAUCGGAUGUGCCCAGAUGGGAUUAGCUAGUAGGUGGGGUAACGGCUCACCUAGGCGACGAUCCCUAGCUGGUCUGAGAGGAUGACCAGCCACACUGGAGCUGUGACACGGUCCAGACUCCUACGGUAGGCAGCAGUGGGGAAUAUUGCACAAUGGGCGCAAGCCUGAUGCAGCCAUGCCGCGUGUAUGAAGAAGGCCGUCGGGUUGUAAAGUACUUUCAGCGAGGAGGCGUUACCCGCAGAAGAAGCACCGGCUAACUCCGUGCCAGCGGACACGGUAAUUG
rnacentral:rRNA from 1 species